UUAAGCGACUAAGCGUACACGGUGGAUGCCCUGGCAGUCAGAGGCGAUGAAGGACGUGCUAAUCUGCGAAAAGCGUCGGUAAGGUGAUAUGAACCGUUAUAACCGGCGAUGUCCGAAUGGGGAAACCCAGUGCAAUUCGUUGCACUAUCGUUAACUGAAUACAUAGGUUAACGAGGCGAACCGGGGGAACUGAAACAUCUAAGUACCCCGAGGAAAAGAAAUCAACCGAGAUUCCCCCAGUAGCGGCGAGCGAACGGGGAGCAGCCCAGAGUCUGAAUCAGCUUGUGUGUUAGUGGAACGGUCUGGAAAGUCCGACGGUACAGGGUGAUAGUCCCGUACACCAAAAUGCACAGGCUGUGAACUCGAAGAGUAGGGCGGGACACGUGGUAUCCUGUCUGAAUAUGGGGGGACCAUCCUCCAAGGCUAAAUACUCCUGACUGACCGAUAGUGAACCAGUACCGUGAGGGAAAGGCGAAAAGAACCCCGGCGAGGGGAGUGAAAAAGAACCUGAAACCGUGUACGUACAAGCAGUGGGAGCACCUUCGGGUGUGACUGCGUACCUUUUGUAUAAUGGGUCAGCGACUUAUAUUCUGUAGCAAGGUUAACCGUAUAGGGGAGCCGCAGGGAAACCGAGUCUUAACUGGGCGUUAAGUUGCAGGGUAUAGACCCGAAACCCGGUGAUCUAGCCAUGGGCAGGUUGAAGGUUGGGUAACACUAACUGGAGGACCGAACCGACUAAUGUUGAAAAAUUAGCGGAUGACUUGUGGCUGGGGGUGAAAGGCCAAUCAAACCGGGAGAUAGCUGGUUCUCCCCGAAAGCUAUUUAGGUAGCGCCUCGUGAACUCAUCUUCGGGGGUAGAGCACUGUUUCGGCUAGGGGGUCAUCCCGACUUACCAACCCGAUGCAAACUACGAAUACCGAAGAAUGUUAUCACGGGAGACACACGGCGGGUGCUAACGUCCGUCGUGAAGAGGGAAACAACCCAGACCGCCAGCUAAGGUCCCAAAGUCAUGGUUAAGUGGGAAACGAUGUGGGAAGGCACAGACAGCCAGGAUGUUGGCUUAGAAGCAGCCAUCAUUUAAAGAAAGCGUAAUAGCUCACUGGUCGAGUCGGCCUGCGCGGAAGAUGUAACGGGGCUAAACCAUGCACCGAAGCUGCGGCAGCGACACUAUGUGUUGUUGGGUAGGGGAGCGUUCUGUAAGCCUGCGAAGGUGUGCUGUGAGGCAUGCUGGAGGUAUCAGAAGUGCGAAUGCUGACAUAAGUAACGAUAAAGCGGGUGAAAAGCCCGCUCGCCGGAAGACCAAGGGUUCCUGUCCAACGUUAAUCGGGGCAGGGUGAGUCGACCCCUAAGGCGAGGCCGAAAGGCGUAGUCGAUGGGAAACAGGUUAAUAUUCCUGUACUUGGUGUUACUGCGAAGGGGGACGGAGAAGGCUAUGUUAGCCGGGCGACGGUUGUCCCGGUUUAAGCAUGUAGGCUGAUUGUCCAGGCAAAUCCGGAUAAUCAAGGCUGAGGUGUGAUGACGAGGCACUACGGUGCUGAAGUAACAAAUGCCCUGCUUCCAGGAAAAGCCUCUAAGCAUCAGGUAACAUUAAAUCGUACCCCAAACCGACACAGGUGGUCAGGUAGAGAAUACCAAGGCGCUUGAGAGAACUCGGGUGAAGGAACUAGGCAAAAUGGUGCCGUAACUUCGGGAGAAGGCACGCUGGUGUGUAGGUGAAGUCCCUGCGGAUGGAGCUGAGACCAGUCGAAGAUACCAGCUGGCUGCAACUGUUUAUUAAAAACACAGCACUGUGCAAACACGAAAGUGGACGUAUACGGUGUGACGCCUGCCCGGUGCCGGAAGGUUAAUUGAUGGGGUUAUCCGUAAGGAGAAGCUCUUGAUCGAAGCCCCGGUAAACGGCGGCCGUAACUAUAACGGUCCUAAGGUAGCGAAAUUCCUUGUCGGGUAAGUUCCGACCUGCACGAAUGGCGUAAUGAUGGCCAGGCUGUCUCCACCCGAGACUCAGUGAAAUUGAACUCGCUGUGAAGAUGCAGUGUACCCGCGGCAAGACGGAAAGACCCCGUGAACCUUUACUAUAGCUUGACACUGAACAUUGAGCCUUGAUGUGUAGGAUAGGUGGGAGGCUUUGAAGCGUGGACGCCAGUCUGCGUGGAGCCAACCUUGAAAUACCACCCUUUAAUGUUUGAUGUUCUAACGUUGGCCCCUGACCGGGGUUGCGGACAGUGUCUGGUGGGUAGUUUGACUGGGGCGGUCUCCUCCCAAAGCGUAACGGAGGAGCACGAAGGUUAGCUAAUCCUGGUCGGACAUCAGGAGGUUAGUGCAAUGGCAUAAGCUAGCUUGACUGCGAGCGUGACGGCGCGAGCAGGUGCGAAAGCAGGUCAUAGUGAUCCGGUGGUUCUGAAUGGAAGGGCCAUCGCUCAACGGAUAAAAGGUACUCCGGGGAUAACAGGCUGAUACCGCCCAAGAGUUCAUAUCGACGGCGGUGUUUGGCACCUCGAUGUCGGCUCAUCACAUCCUGGGGCUGAAGUAGGUCCCAAGGGUAUGGCUGUUCGCCAUUUAAAGUGGUACGCGAGCUGGGUUUAGAACGUCGUGAGACAGUUCGGUCCCUAUCUGCCGUGGGCGCUGGAGAAUUGAGGGGGGCUGCUCCUAGUACGAGAGGACCGGAGUGGACGCAUCACUGGUGUUCGGGUUGUCAUGCCAAUGGCACUGCCCGGUAGCUAAAUGCGGAAGAGAUAAGUGCUGAAAGCAUCUAAGCACGAAACUUGCCCCGAGAUGAGUUCUCCCUGAGACUUUAAGUCUCCUGAAGGAACGUUAAAGACGAUGACGUUGAUAGGCCGGGUGUGUAAGCGCAGCGAUGCGUUGAGCUAACCGGUACUAAUGAACCGUGAGGCUUAACCUU
rnacentral:rRNA from 1 species